ACCUACGGGGGGCAGCAGUGAGGAAUAUUGGUCAAUGGGCGGGAGCCUGAACCAGCCAAGUCGCGUGAGGGAAGACGGUCCUACGGAUUGCAAACCUCUUUUGCCGGGGAGCAACGGGGUCCUUGCGAGGGCCCGAUGAGAGUACCCGGAGAAAAAGCAUCGGCUAACUACGUGCCAGCAGCGGCGGUAAUACGUAGGUGGCAAGCGUUAUCCGGAUUUAUUGGGCGUAAAGGGAACGCAGGCGGCCUUUUAAGUCUGAGGUGAAAGCCUUCGGCUUAACCGGAGGAGUGCAUUGGAAACUGGGG
rnacentral:rRNA from 1 species